rnacentral:rRNA from 1 species
AGAUCGAAUGAGGAGAUUCAUCGUCAGCUCAUUUUGUAUAUAUAUAAGCUGUGAUGCGGGUUACUACUUGUAGUAUUGCCUGCACAUUCUUGUAUAUUUAAUUGCAAGAUGUUGUCGGCGUGCACUUCUCCUCUAGUAGGACGUCGCGACCCGUUGGGUGUCGGUCUACGGCCCGGGUGGUAGCCUUUAGUGUUUUCUAACAUUGAAGACCCCUGGUGUUUCCUGACCGGCUACUCGGCGGUAUUCGUACGGUAUUAAGCCGCAUAUUAUAUGCGUCCAUUCCCGUCGCAAGCGAGGCAAAUUUUUUAGUAGUGCGGACCUAGUGCCGUCGCUGUGAUUGGCCAGCUGUUGGUUGUUACGGUGUUCUGGGACUGGCUUUGUUUUUACCGGUCGGCGAUGCUACUGCUUUGGGUACUUUCAGGACCCGUCUUGAAACACGGACCAAGGAGUCUAACAUGUGCGCGAGUCAUUGGGAUUUUUUUUUUAAAUUAAACCUAAAGGCGUAAUGAAAGUGAAAGCCGUCCUUGCGUCGGCUGAGGGAGGAUGGGUUGUAUUAAGAUACAGCUCCGCACUCCCGGGNNNUCUCAUUCUCAUUGCGAG